CAUACUGUUGCUUCUACACCACACUGAUUUCUUACACUGCGUUGAUUUCUCACACUACACCGAUUUCUCACACCGUAAUGAUUUCUGACACUACACUGAUUUAACACACUACACCGAUUUCUCACACUGCACUGAUUUCUCACACUACACUGAUUUAACACAUUGCACCAAUUUCUAACAUUUGCAUUGAUUUCCGACAUAUGCACUAAUUCAAUAGGUUGACUGGCAUCCCUGGGCGGGCAUUCCUCAAGUGUCGAGGACGUCCUAUGUCGCGGCAUGGCAUGCCUCUACCGUGCGGAUUCUAUUCAAGGGCCUCUUUGGUCAGGCUUACUAUCUAUGAGAGAGGCUCAUCCGCCAGACGCGGGGCGUCGCUGAUCCUAACAUUCCACAUCCUCCUCUAGUCAUGAGGGUAGUUGAUGAGCUGCCGGACGGUCCUUAGCUUGACCUCCUGAUGUUAGGAGAGGAUGGUGAUCAUCAUCAUGAGCCCGGCGACUUCAUCACCUUCCUACACAUUCAGGUAUGGCGCCUUUUACCCUGGGAGUGGUUCGCGCUGUGUCGAAGGUUACUACUACUGCUGCUGCUGUGGUUGGUGAUGUGUUUGCUGGAGGUGCCCCUGCCAUUGCUCUCAUUCCUGGGUUUCCCGUGAUUCCCACUGAGAUCAUGUACAUGCAUCCAAAUGGAGUGAUCGAGCAGAUUCUGUUUGAGCAUAUCGAUGAGAGGAAUCGUAAGCUAGCGUUCACCCAUGGCAUCGAGUAGUGAUACAUUCCUUUAUGCUUCUACUUACUGUACUUUGUCUUGUUUUGUUUUCUACUAUUUAUGUUCAUUGUUCUCUAUCACUUUUGUCCACCUUUCUCAAAUUCUGUUCCUUUUGCAGAUACCCCGGGCGUAUGCUGAUGACCUCCUUCGUACGAUCAACCGACUACUCCUCAUGGUAUGGAGGAGGCAGACCGCCUUAGUCAUACAUGGGAUUGAGUUUGAGCCGGCACUAGCAGUGCCUGCAGGACCUCCUUUAGCCAGCAGAUAGAGACGGGGCCCAAUAAGGGGCUGAGGGGGAGCCAAUCGAGGGAGAGGCUGAGCGAGGCAGCGCUCAUCUUCCGAGGAGUCUUUUGAAGGGUCUACGACCCUCGAGGACAAGGGAGAGGAGGUUGACUUGCAAUCCAGCAGCCCCAGCGACGAUAGUGAUGCACCUCCUCCGCAGCCGAGGAGGAAGAGGGCGAGGAUGGGCUAUUGACGAGGGCGACGACUUUGUUUUAGUUUUUGUUUUUGUUGUUUUUGCUUCAUAGUUAAAGACCAGCUUCAGAUAGACCCUUUUGUUUUGUUUGAAAGAUUUUUUUUUUUUGUUUUAUUGCUUUGUAAAACGAUGAUCGGGGUUGAACCUACCAGUUAUAGAAGACAAUUUUUUGUUGAA